AGACUCAAAAACUACUCGAUCGAUUUUAACGAAAAUUUUCAGUUUGUUCUUGAGAGUCGCCCGUGAAAAUUUAGAGAGUAGGUAGUUAAAAAUACGUCUCGUUGCAGGUUGGCUUUGAAAAAAAUUAUUUUAUAUUUUUGUUGAUUACAUAUAGUCCAUAUUAUAUAAACUGGUGUAACUACAAAUUAUAGCUGUAAACAACGUACUGCGUUUUAAAAUUGUUUGUUUACGCAGAUGAAGCUACGCGUAAACCGAUUAAAUCGCGAAUCCACUGUCAAAUUCUCCAUUUCGGUCGGAUUUGUCCAUAAAACGAGGUACACUGACACCGACAUCAGACACGUCCGCCGUAGCCGUCAACCCAGUGUUGUAGAUUAUUCGUCGCUUUUCUCCGAGAAGAGCCUGAAGACAGCUGCACUUUUUCGUCGAAAUCGCUAAAUUAUAAGUUAUUAUUCAUUGACCCAUAACUCUAACUUUUUGUUUAUUACGGUGUAUUGAUGUAGCCUAUUUCACUUAUCAAAAAUCAAAUUUGCUAGCAACGACAGUCUUGUAUCGCGGCGUAUGUUCGCUUGUGAUUAUACACCAAUAUAAUAUCGUUAUAUUUUGAUCGUAUACACUCGCCAAUCGUGACCUAUAUUUGAGCUGCCAUGUCGAUGAUAAAGUAUGUAUGAGCUGUGGUGUGUUUGUUUUCACAUGAAAUCUGAGGUCAUAAAUCAUCCCAGAAUGGGAAACUAUUCAAAGUAGAGGGCACCUACAGCUGUUGCUGGUUACUAGGUAUAACCCUAGUAAAUGAAUCAAUAAUAAUGGUAAUAAUAUUAUCAAUGUUCAUAACAAAUAAAAAUCACUUAACCAAUGUAAUCACAAUUCUUAAUAUUUCGGUAUGAACGCCAUUAAAAAUGUUCAUGAUUCAUAAGACAUACUAUACUAUUAAUUUCUUAUUAUUUUUUAUGUACCUAC